GCUUUACAGUAGGCUACGUCCCGUUCGUCAGUGUCAAUUACUGCCCAGACACGCCCAACGUGACGACAGAGCUGCUACAGGAAGCACCUCGCGCUCUCGCGAGCUCUGUAUGGUUGGUAUACUGUAAGAUGGCGGAAGAGAAUUAGGGCGCAAAUGUGGGCUUGAAGAUUGAGUGCAGACAGCUGUGACGGAGGGAACUUGGCUGAGGAUUCGUAAAAUGUUCAUUGUGAAAUCCCUUUGUAUGGAAAAAUAUCCUGUUUUAUUUUUGCAACUUUGUCUAGUCAAUGCUCAUUCUGUUUUCCACAAUUCUGUGGCAUAAUCAACUUAAAUGGAUGCAUCCAAUAACUUAGGCUAACUGCCAGUGACUUGGCUGCUUUUGGGUUUGCAUUCAUGCCAUCAGUGUAAUACCAUUGUCUUAGUGUAGAGGCCUUCUGUUUUUAGUCAGUGUUUGUAUUCAUUAGCUGCUGUGCUAAGCUAAUAAAUGUUUGAUGAUUUUUCAAUGUAGUGAUUUUUCAAUGUAGUGCUUAAAAUGGAGGUUAGAUGCAAUAAAAUGAUGCAACAGUGCCUUUAA